rnacentral:rRNA from 1 species
CCUACGGGUGGCUGCAGUGGGGAAUAUUGCACAAUGGGCGCAAGCCUGAUGCAGCCAUGCCGCGUGUGUGAAGAAGGCCUUCGGGUUGUAAAGCACUUUCAGCGGGGAGGAAGGCGGUGAGGUUAAUAACCUCAUCGAUUGACGUUACCCGCAGAAGAAGCACCGGCUAACUCCGUGCCAGCAGCCGCGGUAAUACGGAGGGUGCAAGCGUUAAUCGGAAUUACUGGGCGUAAAGCGCACGCAGGCGGUCUGUCAAGUCGGAUGUGAAAUCCCCGGGCUCAACCUAGGAACUGCAUUCGAAACUGGCAGGCUAGAGUCUUGUAGAGGGGGGUAGAAUUCCAGGUGUAGCGGUGAAAUGCGUAGAGAUCUGGAGGAAUACCGGUGGCGAAGGCGGCCCCCUGGACAAAGACUGACGCUCAGGUGCGAAAGCGUGGGGAGCAAACAGGAUUAGAUACCCGAGUAGUC